AUGGUGUCCCACUUCCCCUCACUGGCCGGCCUCCUCGCCAACCGCCUGCUGGUCCUCUACGACACCACAUGGUCCGCAGUCGCUGCCAUGUCUGUGGCCGUUACGGCUCUCGCGCCCGAGGUCGCCUAUGUCUGGGGCGUCGCGUCUGGUUCACCGCUCACCAAGGCGAGCCCGCCUGGCAAAUUUGCCGGAGGCAGCAUCAGCCUGCCACUUGACGGCCGUCGUAUGUGUGCCUGCUUACCUCUUCGGUCGGACCAUGCCUGA
rnacentral:rRNA from 1 species